rnacentral:rRNA from 1 species
UACGUAGGGUGCGAGCGUUGUCCGGAAUUACUGGGCGUAAAGAGCUCGUAGGUGGUUUUGUCGCGUUGUUCGUGAAAUCUCACGGCUUAACUGUGAGCGUGCGGGCGAUACGGGCAGACUAGAGUACUGCAGGGGAGACUGGAAUUCCUGGUGUAGCGGUGGAAUGCGCAGAUAUCAGGAGGAACACCGGUGGCGAAGGCGGGUCUCUGGGCAGUAACUGACGCUGAGGAGCGAAAAGCGUGGGGGAGCGAACAGG